ACGCUGGCGGCGUGCCUAAUACAUGCAAGUCGAGCGAAGUUUUUCUGGUGCUUGCACUAGAAAAACUUAGCGGCGAACGGGUGAGUAACACGUAAAGAACCUGCCUCAUAGACUGGGACAACUAUUGGAAACGAUAGCUAAUACCGGAUAACAGUAUUUCUCGCAUGAGAGAUAUUUAAAAGUUGGUUAUGCUAACACUAUGAGAUGGCUUUGCGGUGCAUUAGCUAGUUGGUGGGGUAAAGGCCUACCAAGGCGACGAUGCAUAGCCGACCUGAGAGGGUGAUCGGCCACACUGGGACUGAGACACGGCCCAGACUCCUACGGGAGGCAGCAGUAGGGAAUCUUCCGCAAUGGGCGAAAGCCUGACGGAGCAACGCCGCGUGAGUGAAGAAGGAUUUCGGUUCGUAAAGCUCUGUUGUUAGGGAAGAAUGGAUAUGUAGUAACUAUACAUGUAAGAGACGGUACCUAACCAGAAAGCCACGGCUAACUACGUGCCAGCAGCCGCGGUAAUACGUAGGUGGCAAGCGUUGUCCGGAAUUAUUGGGCGUAAAGCGCGCGCAGGUGGUUUAAUAAGUCUGAUGUGAAAGCCCACGGCUCAACCGUGGAGGGUCAUUGGAAACUGUUAAACUUGAGUGCAGGAGAGAAAAGUGGAAUUCCUAGUGUAGCGGUGAAAUGCGUAGAGAUUAGGAGGAACACCAGUGGCGAAGGCGGCUUUUUGGCCUGUAACUGACACUGAGGCGCGAAAGCGUGGGGAGCAAACAGGAUUAGAUACUCUGGUAGUCCACGCCGUAAACGAUGAGUGCUAAGUGUUGGUCUCAUAAGAGAUCAGUGCUGCAGCUAACGCAUUAAGCACUCCGCCUGGGGAGUACGACCGCAAGGUUGAAACUCAAAGGAAUUGACGGGGACCCGC
rnacentral:rRNA from 1 species